GUUGCUGCUGCAAAUGCCACUGAGAGCUCUUUUGGUGCAAAUUUGUUUAGCUGCAUGUCUUCUUUAGAUGUUUUUGAUCCAGGCUACAUCAGACUCAAAAGGCCCCUGGCAAAAGCACUUCUUGCGCUCUCUGUAGCAGUCAUGGUGCUGAUUUUGAUCCUAUUCUUGGUAAAAUUUGUGGCCUUGAAGAAGGGAAAGAGU